rnacentral:rRNA from 1 species
GUGAGGAAUAUUGGUCAAUGGGCGGGAGCCUGAACCAGCCAAGUCGCGUGAAGGAAGAAGGAUCUAUGGUUCGUAAACUUCUUUUGCAGGGGAAUAAAGUGCAGGACGUGUCCUGUUUUGUAUGUACCCUGAGAAUAAGGAUCGGCUAACUCCGUGCCAGCAGCCGCGGUAAUACGGAGGAUCCGAGCGUUAUCCGGAUUUAUUGGGUUUAAAGGGUGCGUAGGUGGGUUGAUAAGUCAGCGGUGAAAGUUUGCAGCUUAACUGUAAAAAUGCCGUUGAAACUGUCGGACUUGAGUGUAAAUGAGGUAGGCGGAAUGCGUGGUGUAGCGGUGAAAUGCAUAGAUAUCACGCAGAACUCCGAUUGCGAAGGCAGCUUACUAAGCUACAACUGACACUGAAGCACGAAAGCGUGGGGAUCAAACAGGAUUAGAUACCCGUGUAGUCC